GUUGAAGGAGAAAACGUUCUUCUAAGUGCUGACAAUCUGCCAGAGAACAUUAUAGCUUUCGCCUGGUACAAAGGGGAGACCGACAUGAACCGUGGAAUUGCACUGUAUUCACUGAGGUAUACUGUAAGUUUGACGGGGCCUGUGCACAGUGGUCGAGAGACAUUGUACAGCGACGGGUCCCUGUGGAUCAAAAAUGUCACCCAGGAGGACACAGGAUUUUAUACCUUUCGAAUCAUAAAUAAUCAUGGAAAAAUUCAAUCAAAUACAACCCUGUUCCUUCACGUGAAAUGUAAGUAACUCUUUGUGAACUGUGGGUUUUGGGUGGUGUCCUUCCACUAGACACAUAGAAGUAUCAGGCCAGGGCUGUGUCUCCCU
rnacentral:lncRNA from 1 species